rnacentral:lncRNA from 1 species
AUUCUGGUAGUGACUGCAAGAUCAAAUCUUGAGAGAGCUCUGUACCUAGUUUGCACCCCAACUUCUCAAGCUCUUCAAUAAGAUCAAUCAUAUGAUUGACAUAGGGUCCAACUGGUGAGUUUCCAUUCAAUUUGGAUCCAAAUAAAGCCUUAGAUAGUUGGCAUCUAGCUGUUCUGCUUUGUGUACCAAACAUCUUCUUAAGAUGUUCAAUAAUUGCAGUUGGAUCCAUAUCCUGAUGUUUCUUCUGCAGUUCAGAAUUCAUAGGAGCGAGAAUGAUGCAUUUGGUAGUAAGACAUUCUUCCAAGUAUUUUUGAUAAAUCUUGGUAGCAUCAUCAUCAUUUACAUAUGGGACUUCCUUAGCGGGCUUAUCGAUCACAUCAAUAAGUUUU